rnacentral:tRNA from 3 species
GGGUCCUUAGCUCAGUUGGUAGAGCGCGUCGUUCGCAAUGACGAGGUCAGGGGUUCAAUUCCCCUAGGAUCCACCA